rnacentral:rRNA from 1 species
UACAGAGGUCCCAAGCGUUGUUCGGAUUCACUGGGCGUAAAGGGUGCGUAGGUGGUGAGGUAAGUCGGAUGUGAAAUCUCUAAGCUCAACUUGGAAACUGCAUUGGAAACUACCUUGCUAGAGGAUUUGAGGGGGGAUUGGAAUACUUGGUGUAGCAGUGAAAUGCGUAGAUAUCAAGUGGAACACCAGUGGCGAAGGCGAAUCCCUGGAAAAUACCUGACACUGAGGCACGAAAGCUAGGGGAGCAAACAGG